rnacentral:rRNA from 1 species
GACGAUUGCUGGCGGCGUGCUUAACACAUGCAAGUCGAACGAUGAAGCCUAGCUUGCUAGGUGGAUUAGUGGCGAACGGGUGAGUAAUACGUGAGUAACCUACCUUUAACUCUGGGAUAAGCCUGGGAAACUGGGUCUAAUACCGGAUACGACCAAUCUCCGCAUGGGGUGUUGGUGGAAAGCGUUAUGUAGUGGUUAUAGAUGGGCUCACGGCCUAUCAGCUUGUUGGUGAGGUAACGGCUCACCAAGGCGACGACGGGUAGCCGGCCUGAGAGGGUGACCGGCCACACUGGGACUGAGACACGGCCCAGACUCCUACGGGAGGCAGCAGUGGGGAAUAUUGCACAAUGGGCGCAAGCCUGAUGCAGCGACGCCGCGUGAGGGAUGACGGCCUUCGGGUUGUAAACCUCUGUUAGCAGGGAAGAAGAGAGAUUGACGGUACCUGCAGAGAAAGCGCCGGCUAACUACGUGCCAGCAGCCGCGGUAAUACGUAGGGCGCGAGCGUUGUCCGGAAUUAUUGGGCGUAAAGAGCUUGUAGGCGGUUUGUCGCGUCUGCUGUGAAGGCCGGGGCUUAACUCCGUGUAUUGCAGUGGGUACGGGCAGACUAGAGUGCAGUAGGGGAGACUGGAAUUCCUGGUGUAGCGGUGGAAUGCGCAGAUAUCAGGAGGAACACCGAUGGCGAAGGCAGGUCUCUGGGCUGUAACUGACGCUGAGAAGCGAAAGCAUGGGGAGCGAACAGGAUUAGAUACCCUGGUAGUCCAUGCCGUAAACGUUGGGCACUAGGUGUGGGGGACAUUCCACGUUUUCCGCGCCGUAGCUAACGCAUUAAGUGCCCCGCCUGGGGAGUACGGCCGCAAGGCUAAAACUCAAAGAAAUUGACGGGGGCCCGCACAAGCGGCGGAGCAUGCGGAUUAAUUCGAUGCAACGCGAAGAACCUUACCAAGGCUUGACAUAUACUGGACCGCAUCAGAGAUGGUGUUUCCCUUCGGGGCUGGUAUACAGGUGGUGCAUGGUUGUCGUCAGCUCGUGUCGUGAGAUGUUGGGUUAAGUCCCGCAACGAGCGCAACCCUCGUUCUAUGUUGCCAGCACGUUAUGGUGGGGACUCAUAGGAGACUGCCGGGGUCAACUCGGAGGAAGGUGGGGAUGACGUCAAAUCAUCAUGCCCCUUAUGUCUUGGGCUUCACGCAUGCUACAAUGGCCGGUACAGAGGGUUGCGAUACUGUGAGGUGGAGCUAAUCCCUAAAAGCCGGUCUCAGUCCGGAUUGGGGUCUGCAACUCGACCCCAUGAAGUCGGAGUCGCUAGUAAUCGCAGAUCAGCAACGCUGCGGUGAAUACGUUCCCGGGCCU